UUUUAGGAUUCCUGAACGUGGGAACAUUUUCUGGAUUCUUGUGCAACAUUCUUUCUCCACUCUUGUGGGUGUGUGGAAGGAAGGAGCAGAUACGAAGGGUUUCCUUCAACUCACCUUUCCUGUCAGUGGUUACUACGUUGAUUGGAAUGGGUGUGUACACAGGGAAAUACACUCAGAGUACACCUCUGGAAUACCGUGGGUGGUCCUUCAUCUUGGCCUGGUGUAGCUUCUCCGUCUACCUUGUUGCUGCUUUCCUUCGGGUUUCUCCCAUGUUGUUUGGUCAGGGUUGUGUGGAUACACCCAUCUCCCAGAAGUCAUCUCCUCCAACUGAAGUAUCAGCAAUUACCAACGGUCACGACAACAAGAUUUGUAGUAAUGAGGCUGAUAAAAUAUCUUCUACGUAGACCCUUUUGGUUCAUAUAUAAAAUAAGUGGCCACCAGAUGGAAUAAAAGGAUUCAUUUUCCCAUUUUCCUUUCAGCACUAUUACAUUAUCGGUAAUUUUCUAAGCUAUAGCCAGCUUCCAUACAUUUCUAUACCACAGGUAUACUCCCAAACCCUGUAAAUUUCAA